rnacentral:rRNA from 1 species
GUUCGAUCCUGGCUCAGAUUGAACGCUGGCGGAUCACUACAUGCAAAUCGAACGGCAGCACAGAACUUCGGUCUGGUGGCGAGUGGCGAACGGGUGAGUGAUGUAUCCGGAACGUGCCCUGGUGGCCAGGAGAUAACUACGGCGAAAGCGUAGCUAUGCCGCCGCCCUUCGGGGGAAAGCAGGGGACCUUCGGGCCUCGCACUAUGCGACGGCCGAUAUUAUCGGAUUAGCUAGUUGGUGGGGGUAACCUGGCUCUGGGCGACGAUCCGUAGCUGGUUUGAGAGGACGACCAGCCACACUGGGACUGAGACGGCCCAGACUCCUACGGGAGGCAGCAGUGGGAAUUUUGGACAAUGGGGAAACCUGAUCCAGCCAUCCCCGCGUGUGCGAUGAAGGCCUUCGGGUUAUAAAGCACUUUUGGCAGGAGAAACGGCACGGGAUAAUACCCCGUGCAACUGACGGUACUUACUCACAGAAUAAGCUUCCGGCUAACUUCGUGCCAGCAACCGCAGUAAUACGUAGGGUGCAAGCGUUAAUCAGAUUACUGGAGGCGUAAAGCGUGCGCAGGCGGUUCGGAAAGAAAGAUGUGAAAUCCCAGAGCUUAACUUUGGAACUGCAUUUUUACCUUUACCGAACUAGAAGUGUGUCAGAGAGUGGAAUUCCGCGUGUAGCAGUGAAAUGCGUAGAUAUGCAGAGGAACACCGAUGAAGGCAGCACUCCUGGGAUAACACUGACGCUCAUGCGAAAGCGUGGGGAGCGCAAACAGGAUUAGAUACCUGGUAGUCCACGCCCUAAACGAUGUCAACUAGCUGUUGGGGCCGGCGAGCCUUAGUAGCGCAACAUGAAGUUAACCCAAAACCACAGGAAGUACGGUCGCAAGAUUAAAACUCAAAAGAAUUGACGGGGACUCGCACAAGCUUGGUGGAUGAUGUGGAUUAAUUCGAUGCAACGCGAAAAACCUUACCUACCCCUUGACAUGUCUGGAAUCCCGAAGAGAUUUGGGAGUGCUCGCAAAAGAACCGGAACACAGGUGCUGCAUGGCUGUCGUCAGCUCGUGUCGUGAGAUGUUGGGUUAAGUCCCGCAACGAGGCGCAACCCUUGUCAUUAGAUUGCUACGAAAGGGCACUCUAAUGGAACUGCCGGUGACAAACCGGAGGAAGGUGGGGAUGACGUCAAGUCCUCAUGGCCGCAGCAAAUUUAGGGCUUCCCGCACGUCAUACAAUGGUCGGGACGGAGGUCGCCCAGCCCGCGAGGGGGGCUAAUCCCAGAAACCCGAUCGUAGUCCGGAUCGCAGUCUGCAACUCAGCUUCGCGUAAAGUCGGAAUCACUAAAGUAAUCGCGGAUCAGCAUGUCGCGGUGAAUACGUUCCCAGGUCUUAUACACACCGCCCGUCACACCAUGGGAGUGGGGUUUACCAAAGUAGUUAGCCCUAACCGUAAGGAGGGGCGAUUACCACGGUAGGAUUCAUGACUGGGGGUGAAGUCGUAACAAGAUAA